UCCCAGGGUAGCCUAGUGGACAUGGCAUCUGCCUGGUAUGCGGAACACUGUGGGUUCGAUUCCCAUCACUGGAC
rnacentral:tRNA from 1 species